ACUCGGGACGGUCCGGUGGCGGAGGCCACGGCGGUUGUGGACCCGAGGCUGGGUGAUCGCUCCGCGUCCAUCCGCACCGUCCGCCCGCACCGUCCGCCCGCACCGUCCGCCCGCACCGUCCGCCGUGUCCCGCCGCGUCCCGCCGCGAGGGUCCGCCCGUCCCCUCUGCUGGAAGCCGCAGACCGCGAGGGCCCACUGUCCCACAGAAAGGACAGAACGGGGGCCCGCGACAGGACGCUGUGGGAACCGGGAAGCCAGAUAUCCCCGUUGUCUUUAGAAACUUCAGGGCAGAGAGAAGAAAUAGGACCGAGGCCCUGGGGGAAGAACCAGACCUAGGAGUGACAUCAGAGGAGGAACAGAAAAGGCUUGAUGGCAGUGAACAUAACCAGCUCAGGAAAUGUUGACCGCAUGGAGGAAUUCUCCACAGCUGGCCUGGACCCAGGCCCGGGUCUUCCCUCUGUCCAGCUUUCUCCUUCUCCCUGCCUGGCCGGACCCAUCCCCACCGUGUUCCCUUCAUACUCGCCUCAGACAGAAGUAGAAAAGAGCAAGGCCCAGGGCUGCAGAGAGGAGUGUGGUGGGUCCGGGAGCAUUCCCUGCCUUCUGCCUGCACCUGCGAGCCUGAGCCUGCUCCAGGGAGGCCGCCGCUCUGCUGCCCUGGGAAGGCCCUGGAGGAAACCCAAGUCACCACAGUGGGAAGAGCUCCAGGAACCCUGGGAGGCUGCACGUCCUGAACCAGGAGAGAGCUCGGAAAGCAGAGCCUGACCUGAGCCCAGAAAGGAACCUAGCAACGCGGGGCAGGAGUGAGGCAAGUGAGCACUUUAAGUCAAAGUUCCCCAAGAAGUCUGGGAGCCAUACAUCGUCCACGUGCCUAAAGGCUGAAAGGGGCUUUUUACAGCAUUCUUUUCUGCUCAUUAACUGUUUCUCUCCAGUUCUGACCCAGAGUGUGGCAGAGGCCUGGUCAGGUCAGCAACCAGAGUCUGCUUUCUAAGCAUGUAGUUCACUGUAGUCUCACAAUAAUAAAUACAAUAAUGGGGGCAUCGUUAUCUUUCAACACAGGGAGAAAUGUAAUCUGAAAAGGAAUCUAGCACUUAGGGCAAGCACAUCUUAGUUUGUUUUAACGUGUCCAAGAAAACUGACACAGCAAUAUGCAUGAACCUCGAGGAUGAUAUGCUGAGGGAAAUAAGGCAGCCACAAAAAAGUCAAAUAGCACGUGAUUGCAUUUAUAUAGAGUAUCUUGAGCAGUCAGAUUUGCAGGGACAGAAAGUAGAAUGUGGUUUCUAGGGGGCGGGAGAAGGGGACACAUGGGGAAUUGUUUAAUGGGUAUAGAGCUUCAGUUUUAUAAGAGGAAAGACAUUGUAGAGAUUGGUUAACAGUAUGAAUAUGCUUAAUACUAACCCUUAUACUUAAAAAUGGUUAAGUUGAUAAACUUUAUGCUAUAUAUAUCUUACCACAAUUCAAAAUUGUUUUAAGGGCUGGAGAUUUAGGUCAGUGGUGCUCCCCUGCCUCAAAAGCGAAAGGUCCUGAGUUCGAUCCCUGGUACCAAAAAACAAAACAAAAAAAUGUUUUAAAACUAAGGAGGGGAAAAAUAAAUUCAUUAAAUAGCCAGAUUACUGAAAAAGAGUUGCAGAAAGACUAAAUCAAACUUAAAAAUAAAAAUCUGUGAGGCUGGGUGUGUAGCUCAGUGGAAGAGGACAUACUUAGCCAGGACAUGGCCUUGUCUUUAAUUCCCAGCACCAAACACAAAAACAAAAGCAAAAAGCAACCCACAAACAAAGCAAAACAAAAGUGAAAUGAAAUGCAAUUAUAUAUGUAGUGGGGAGAACAAAUGGUGCAAAGGGGCAUUUAUUGGGACAAUAGAGACUUAUCACUGUGUUAAUCCUGGUACGUGUGCUAUUGCAUUAAAUUUCCAAAGUAACCUUUAAAGUAGACAUUCUAGUCCUUAUUUUGAAAAUGAGAAAAUUUAGGUAUAGGAAGGACAAACACAUUGCCAAUGUCCCCACAGCUGAUACGCAGCAGAGGGAAAUAACAGAUUGCUUAUUACUAGAAAAGUACUGUUCUUACAAAGGGAAAAAAUAUUCUUCUAACCUCUCUACUUUUUACUUUUCUUCCUCACAGUACUGGGGAUCGAACCCAGGACCUUCACACUGAGCUGCACCCCCAGCCCUUUCUCAUUUUUAUUUUGCUCGAGGCAGGGUCUCACUAAGUCACUAAGUUGCCCAGGCUGGGCUCGAACUUGCCAUCCUCCUUCUGCAGCCUCCCACACUGUGGGAUUGCAGGCCUGCGGCACCAUGCCUGGCUUCGUUUUUCUUUCUAACCUUACGGAAUCCUGACAAGAAAGUUUAAAACUAAGUUGGGCUAUCACUUAGGGAAAACAGUGGACAGCAGGGGAAAAGGUUGCAAGUUUAUUAGAGUAAGAUUGCGAUGCCUGACGGAAAGCCAUGUCCUGAGAGUGCUGUGGGAGCCUGAAAAUGAACUCGAGACCAGGGAGGUGAGAGGCCAGGCUUCCCGUGGUGUGUACAAUGGGUGUACAGCGUUUUAGUCUGCGUACUAGAUUAAACUGAACUUCUGUCACUUAAACACUUUUCGUAUAAUUCAGCCAAGGAAAUUGUAUCACAAGGUCGCAAGGGAAAUGGAUGGCGUGAUAAAAAUGAGUAAUUUGUGGAAAAAUUAAUAAAGGGCUAUUGAUGAGGUGUGGGCAAGGUGGGGGGAACCACCAGGGGCGGCGCAGAACCUUGGGGCUGGGACUCGGGGCUUGACCUCCCCAAGAUGAGCACGGAGGGAGCAGCGCGUACUGCAGCUCAGGGAGAGGGCUGCCCGCCUGGGGCGGCGUGUGCUGGCCACAGGCCCAGCAGAAGUGAAGUAUUCCCACCUCGCUCUCCUUUCUCCCUUCUGAUCUCCCCGUAGAUCAGACCCUACUUUAAGCCUCCUGCAGCACAGAGCAAGGUGGAAAAGAACGGAGAGUGAGCCAGGCGUGGUGGCACACGACUGUACUCUCAGUGCUCUGGAAGGCUGAGGCAGGAGAUCACAAAUUCGAGCCCAAUCUGGGCAGUUUAGUGACUUAGGCCCUGUUUGAAAAAUAAAAUUUUGAAGGGCUGGGUAUGUAACUCAGUGUGAAGACCCUGAGUUCAAUCCCCAGUACCCUCCCUGCAAAAAAAGAAUUGGAGAGUGAACUUAGAGGGGCAAAUGGAAUGUAUCCAGUAAAGAGAAUACUAUUUUACAGGCAGGUCAUAUGCAAAAAUAAUUUUUUUUUAGUACCGGGGAUCGAACUUGGGACCUUGCGCUUGCGAGGCAGGUGCCGGAACCACUGAACUAAAUCCCCAGCCCCCUUGCAAAAGUAAUUCUAAGAGUGAAUUAACAACCAGACCAAGUCCUCUAUUUUUGUUAAUUAACAUAUAUUAGAAAAGAUACUGCAAAACUUUGGGAAGUGUAUUAGUUAGGUUUUAUUAUAAUAAUGCUGCAUCACAACCAACUCCAAAAAUUGCAGUGGUUGAUUACAAUGAUAUUUUAUUUUUCAGUACCAGGGAUGGACCCCAGGGAGCACCGAGCUACAACCCAGCUCUUCUUAUCAUUUCCCUUUGAGACAGGAUCUUACUAAUGUGCUCAGACUGGCCUCAGACUUGUGAUGGUUCUGUCUCAGCCUCCCAGGUGUCUGGGAAUGCAGGCUUGCCUCUCCCUGCUAAGCUGUCCACUUUCUUUUUCACUCUCAAGGACUAGUUCAAAUGCAUUUGGCUAAGUCAGCUGAGCGUGACCCCAGGCUAAAGGCUGGGUUCAAGUAUCACAUUCUGAAACCCAGGCUAAAGGAUUCAACAUUACCUUGUGAAGGCAGAUGGUAGGAACACGAAAGGAAAAAGAGAAGCCAUGUCUUGAACCUCUGCUUGGAACUGGACGCUGUCACUUCACCGAUUCCAUCGGCCAAUGCGAGUCACUUGACCAAGCCUAAUAUCAAUGGGGUGGGAAAGUCAGUGGGGAGGUAGAAUAAAUAUUUCCUAAUUAAUCUAUUUUACUUAGUAAAACUGCUUUUGAAACAUACUUUUCAUAGGACUUCCCAGUCAGUAUCCCUAUAGAUUUUAUCCCUUUAACUCUUUUCUCGUAGUAGACAGAAGUUCAUCGUUUAACGACCAACCUGUUUGACUUAUGGCCCAGGAGCACUGUUCAGAGUUAUGACCCACCUCGGGGACUCAGGACCCAAGUUCAGACCCACAUUGCAGGACCAUGAGUGGCAGUGUGGACUUAGGGGGGCUUCUUCUACAGUACAGUACUGUGAGAUUUACCAAUUGUACUGUACAGUGCAGUACUGUAAUUUUAUGUUCUGUAAUACAUUACAGUACUACAUAAGAGUCAUGCAAAUAAAAGCAAAGUCAUCAAGUUGGAAUUUCCUGUGACCAUUUCUUUGUUCUAAGAAUAUUGUAAUGUACAUAGUACAUACAAUUCCUCAUUUAGCAACCAAUUUAUUUAAUGACUUAGUUGCAGGAACGGAACUUGGUCAUUAAGUGAAGAGUGUCUGUAUAUAUUUUUCUUACUUAAUAAAUCCUCCAAUGAUUAUAAUUCUCUGCCAAUCACAUUUAUCAUUUUCAUUACCAAAAGGAAUCUUUUUUUAAAAUUUUAUUUUAUUGGUACAUUUUAGGUAUAUAAUAUAAUGACAUUCAUGAUUGGAAAUUUGCACCUUUAUAUAGUCUCUCUUGGUUCUUAUUUUUCCCCCUUCCCCUGCCCUCCCUCAACCCCUCCACCCCUCCCUAUUUACAAAGACCUUGUUUCCAUUUUU
rnacentral:lncRNA from 1 species